rnacentral:rRNA from 1 species
CACGUAGGGCGCAAGCGUUGUCCGGAAUUAUUGGGCGUAAAGAGCUCGUAGGCGGUUUGUCGCGUCUGCUGUGAAAGACCGGGGCUCAACUCCGGUUCUGCAGUGGGUACGGGCAGACUAGAGUGAUGUAGGGGAGACUGGAAUUCCUGGUGUAGCGGUGAAAUGCGCAGAUAUCAGGAGGAACACCGAUGGCGAAGGCAGGUCUCUGGGCAUUAACUGACGCUGAGGAGCGAAAGCAUGGGGAGCGAACAGG